rnacentral:misc_RNA from 1 species
GAUGAAGAACGCAGCGAAAUGCGAUAAGUAGUGUGAAUUGCAGAAUUCAGUGAAUCAUCGAAUCUUUGAACGCACAUUGCGCCCCUUGGUAUCCCGAGGGGCAUGCCUGUUCGAGCGUCAUUUCACCACUCAAGCCUGGCUUGGUGUUGGGCGACGUCCCCUUUGGGGACGCGCCUCGAAACGCUCGGCGGCGUGGCACCGGCUUUAAGCGUAGCAGAAUCUUUCGCUUUGGAAGUCGGGGCCCCGUCUGCCGGAAGACCUACUCGCAAGGUUGACCUCGGAUCAGGCAGGUAUACCCGCUGAACUUAAGCAUAUCAAUAAGCGGAGGA